ACAGUCUCAAGUGAAAUAACCAGAAAAUGAGGAUCGUAUUUUAUUUACUGCUGAUGCUCAGAGUGGGCCGAUCCACAGAUGAUCAGAACUUUGAGACAAAGACUGUUGGUGUUGGAGAUGAUGUGAGACUGACAUGUCCGCGCAAGUUGACCGGAAACUUGUUUUGGAUCAGGCUUGUUUCUGGAGCCUUUCCUCAAGUCUAUUCACUUUUGGGUAAUCGCAUUACAACCACAAAAGAGCCCGGAACGUUAGAUCUGCAUAUUAAAGAUGCAAGGCUAAGUGAUGCUGCAGUUUACUACUGUAUGAAAAUAUACAAACAAAACUUCACCUUUUUGAAAGGAACAGACCUGAGAGUUGAAGACCUUCCAUCUGAUCCAGUCCGUCCAGGAGACUCAGUGACUCUGCAGUGUUCAGUCCUCUCUG